GUGGCCCCACAGCACCUCGUCCGCCAGGUACGAGCUGCGCGCCUGGCACGUCAUCCCUGGGGGGCACGGGGGGCAGGGGGCAUGGGGACCCCAAAACCUGAGCCACUCAGGGCAUGGGGACCCUGAUAUCUGAGUCACUCAGGGCAUGGGGACCCCGAUAUCUGACUCUGGGCAUGGGCACCCCGAUACCUGAGUUACUCAGAGCAUGGGGACCCCGAUACCUGAGUCACUCAGGGCACGGGGACCCCAAAACCUGAGUCACUCAGGGUAUGGGGACCCCAAAACCUGAAUCACUCAGGGCAUGGGGAUCCUGAUAUCGGAGUCACUCAGGGCAUGGGGACCCCAAAACCUGAGCCACUCAGGGCAUGGGGACCCCAAAACCUGAGCCACUCAGGGCAUGGGGACCCCGAUACCUGAGUCACUCAGGGCAUGGGGACCCCAAAACCUGAAGAAUCCAGGACACGGGAAACCCCCAAAUCUGGUAGGAGGGGUCUGUGAAACCCCCAGGGUUUGGGGCACCCCAAUACCUGAAUCACUCAGGGCUGGGGGACCCCAAUACCUGAAAUCCCAGGACAUGGGGCACCCUAUAAGUGAAACACCCAGUGCACAGGGCACCCCAAACCCUCCUGGGGGGUCUGUGCCUCACCCAGGGUAUGGGGGGGACCCCAAAUCUGGUAGGAGGGGCCUGUGAAACCCCCAACUUUUGGGGGGCACCCCCAAUACCUGAAGGCCCCUGACCCCAUAGCACCUUGUCCGCCAGGUACGAGGGUUGGGGAGGCCCCAGAAGUUGGGGGGGCCAAGGGCACCCCGGUAUCGGAAGCCCCCAGGGCAUGGGAAACCCCAAAUCUGGUAGGAGGGGCCUGUGAAACCCCCCAGGGCUUGGGACACCCCCAUACCUGAAGCCCCCAGGACAUGGGACACCCCAAGCUCACCUGGGGGAGGUCUGUGCUGUGCCCCCAUUUUGGGGGACCCCAAAUCUGGUAGGAGGGGGCUGUGAAGCCCCCAGCAGAGAUGUCCCCGUGGAGGUGAGGUGUCCCCACAGAGACGAAGUGUCCCCAAGGACACAAUGUGCCCCCAUGGACAUGAGGUGUCCCCAUGGAUGGUGUCUGUCCCCAUGGUGUCCCCAUGGACGUGAGGUGUCCCCAUGGAUGGUGUCUGUCCCCAUGGAGGUGAUGGGUCCCAAGAAGACGAUGUCCCCAUGGAGAUGAGAUGUCCCCAAGAAGAUGAUGCAUCCGCAUGGAGGUGUCCCCAUGGAUGUGUCCUCAUGGAGGUGUCCCCAUGGAGAUGAGAUGUCCCCAUGGAGACGAAGUGUCCCCAUGGAGGUCACAGAUCCCCAUGGAGGUGAUGUCCCCACAGAGAUGAGGUGUCCCCACAGUGAUGAUGUGUCCCGAUGGAGGUGUCCCCAUGGACCUGUGUCCCCAUGAUGAUGUGUCCCACAAAGACGAUGUGUCCCACGGUGAUGACGUCCCCACGGAUGUAUCCACACAAAGACGCCGCGUCCCCGUGCCACCGAGGCGUCCCCGUGCCACCGAGGCGUCCCCGCCCCG